CCCGCGUUUCGUGUUUCGCUGUUCCGAUCUUCGCCGCAGCGUUCGCGUUCAAGGGAAAUCGCAAUGACGUCGGCGAAUGACGCUAGUCGCUAAUGGUCUUUCAACAUAUGUAGAUCGAUCUGUGUAAUUUUGUUUUCGUUAACGAGCGUUCUUAUCGAGGAUCACCGUGUACGCAACGCGUGCGCGAAACGUUCGUUUUGUUUGUUAAUUUUGCAACGCUGGGUUACAUGGAAAUAAACGUCUCGUGCAAUUAUUUUCACCAUCGAUUUCUUGUUUUGCCGUGCGCCACGGUACGCCGGUCUCUGACGAAAAAAAAGGACAAGACAACGGUAUACGGGUGGUCGAACCAGCUAUUUGUAAUCAUCGUAGUGAAACAAACGGAAACAAGUAAAAUACCAAGCGAUCUAAGGACUUUCACGGUCGUACCACCGUACGUCGAGCAAAAUGAACGUGCUCGUACCUCGCGAUUAAUCGUUAAUCUAAUCGAACGGCAAUGCGCGAAAGGUCGAAAGUCUCCUGUUUUUACAUCAAAUUCAUGCAAAUCGUUUUUCCAUGAAAAUGUCGAACAAGUACGCGUGCGAUGAGUAAAACAAUACUCCAUCGAGGACGCUUUAUCGGACUUGAACUUUGUAGUUUCUGAAACGGACGUUUCACUCGUUCAUGCCGUCGAAACGAUUUAGCGUUUAUUUGAUCGAAGGACACGGGACUCGAAGAAUCAAGCGUGUGCCGGAAAGGAUGAUAUCUUUACGACUGCUUCGUUCGAAUGACGGAGUAUUAAUAACGCGGCGGUGGUCUUUUCGUAAAUUACAAAAAUAGCUACCCGCUUUACGAAUUGCCGAUCCGAUCAUAUCCGGGAGCUACGCCCAUUCCUUGAAACUCGUCUCGAAUGCUUCUUAGAGAAAUGAAACAGUCGUCCUUGAUCUAUGGGGGCGAUAGUCAAUCUAGUCGAUAGAUUCGCAAAAGUAGGCGAAAAGUAGUUUGAAAUUUCGGCCUCUAGAUUAGAAGAUAAUCCGUUUGCGCCCGAGCCAACUGAAACCGGAUCUUUCUACGUCAGACCCGGCCAGUCUAAAGAUACAGUCGCUCUUUUUCUCGUAUAGUACGAAACGCGAUCUCGCAUCGCGCUUAGAAGAAUCGCACGAUCGAAUCGACCGAGCGGAGGGUUGUUUCCAUGGGAAAUUCGUGAGAAAAUUUUUUCAAUCGGAACGGAAGGUUCGCUGAUUCGAGCGUGGCUAAGCGAAACGUUUACCAUCUUAUUAGAGUCUGGCUUGUUCUAAUCGCGUACCUGGCGACGCGUGACGUCAUUGGCCAUUAAAGGAUAGCAGUUCUCUCGGGCGGGACUCUGAAUUUUCCAAUCGGAACGUGAAAAUCCAACUCGUCCAUAAUACGUUCACGGUAUACUGCGCUAGAGGCGCAACGUCGUCGAGGUCUCGGAGCGAAUUGGGUCCACGGCACCGACCCAGAGGAGGGUGCAAUAAAGAGAGCCAGGCCGUACGUACGACGGUUUACGCCCCUCCCUCGAUCCCACUUCGCCACAUCGUACCCCACCCCACUCUAACCAUCGUGCUUCUGCACCCUACUUUGAAAAUCCCUCAACGGUUUCACAGCAAGUGCCUUCGAAAAUGGACAAAGAGAAAGAGAGGUUUGGAAGCCUGCAGGCACCCGUUUUUCGUACGAAAAUUCACGCGCUCCUGUCUGACCUGAAAACGCAAUAAAUAGCGUUCGUCCCGUUAUUCUCCUUUCUCGGCCGGCUCCGGCAUUAUAUACACCGACAACGUCCAUCCGCUUUCCGAGAAAAGUUGCACCGUUCUUCCAUUAUUGUACAGAGAAAAUUAUUCGACAUGUCGUAUUAUCGCGUAGAGAAAAUUAUUCGUCAGAUUUUUCAGUUACAAGUUAAACGAAAUAAGUAACGGAAAGCGUAGUGUUAGAAUAAAUACAGUUCGUAAAAGACACACGAUAUCAGCUUUACUUUACGAAAUACUUAAUAACUGUAACUUUCGCGUGCGUAAACGGACGAUGUGAUUUCUACGAUCGUCUCUCAGUAACUGAACUGUCCUUUUUUUUUCUUCUCGUCAUUCUCCUUGGUUCCACAGAUUAGAAAAAAUGUUCCUAUCCUUUUAAUGGGCUGCACCUGAAUUUUCACGACGCGUCGGACUAUUCCAACGUUACUCGACGCUUCGAGUCUUCCCGUUUUCAAUGACGGUAAACUGCUUUUCCUCGUAGAACGCGCGAGGUAUGUGUAAUACGAUCGUGGAGAAAAGCAACGUCGGGGACUCGAAUUGCGACUCGCGGAUUGGAAAGUCGAUGGAGAUUAUAGGAGAAAGAGAUCCGUGUUCGAUCGGCUGAAUAGGUGAAAAAUUAAAAUCGACGCUAUUUGCGUAGUUAUCGAGGCAUCUCGAGUCAGCCAAGUCACGUGGCUUUUUUUCUUGCCAAAAAGUUAAGUUACAUGCCUCCGUGGCGACUGUCAUCGUCGAUAUUAGCCGGCAAAGUCACCUCGCGAGUUUUCGAUGCGACCCACACCGUACACGCGCCGAAGAGAUUUUCCACGUGUCACUGGGUCAGUGCACUUGCUGUCCUGCGCGGGAACGUGAAUACAGAUCGCUCUCUAAAUAUCAGAGUACCGCGAACCUCCGUAUUCGCCCGCGGUCUCUAAAGUUCAUCCAGGAACGUACGUCUUAACGAAAAUACUCGGUGAAGAUCGUUGAAAGCAUUUUGAAGAGAAAGGUCGAUAGUUUUUAAUCGAACGAUCUAAAUAAUUUAGACUAUUAGUUAGAAUUACGAUGGAUCUGUUUUCUGACGAACUGUCGUUCCGACGAACGAAAUAUACAAAUACGAUUUAACCAGUGAGUAUCGUGGCUCACUGACAUAAUGUAUAAUUGACUAUGUAAAUGCUCUCAGAAUCUCUGCGAGGUAUAGAUAUACUUGCGAUAAAUAUCUUGUAACUUCUCUAUACAUUUUCAGUGUCGUUUUAAAGAUGUACCAAUACAAUCGUGACGAUCGUAUCUCAUUACAGUAUUAAUGCAAAAUGUUAUAUUAUGUAACAUUUAUACGGUGUACCAAGUAUUAAGUUUUCACGAUGUGUAUGUUUACAGUACAUAAAUGUUUUGUAACUUGCAUAUACAUUUCCAGAUUGGUUUCAAAUUCUGCUGCUAUCAUCACGAUACAUAAUCAGCUUCGAUCGUAUACGAGUGGCAAUGAAAUUUCAAAAAGUUUUGUCCAACACACGUAACAUAUUCGUAAAAAUAUUUCCUUCUUUCGGUCACUCUAUGUACUCGUACAUUUAAUUGUUUCGACGUAUUCGUCGGAACGACACUUGGUCGGAAUACGCAUCCACUGUAGCCAUAGUCUUAUACACAUCGAGUGUCACCCGAAUUGUAGCGAAUUGUACAGGUCGAGCGGAGCGUACUUUGGACGAAUGGAAACACGCGGACACGGUGGACGAUCGCGAAACCGAUGAACGUCAACGGCGGGUUACCGUUCCACUCGAAACGAGCCAGGCAGCUAACAUUUUCGUGAGAAGCCUCGCGGCACCGUCGCGUCGGUGCGUCGUUGCGAAAAAUCAUUCCCGUUGAAGGUAGUUUCUGUCUGCGUCUCUGUCCGCCUCCUAUCGCUUCCCUGUCGCGCAAUACGAAACGAGUUUCCAACACGAUUCAAUGCCUCGGUCUGCAAAUGUGAAAGUACAUUACUGCCAGCUCUGAAAGUCGUUUUGUUCGAAGGUUUACCUCUCGAGCGGCCCUGGACCGUUCACCGAGAAAAGAAUCGGCUAGUGAGGACGAGGCUUACGCCAGGCGAAAAAUCAUCGACAAAUUUAUAACGAAACCCCCCUAACGUUGACUUAACGGUUAACGAUAAACAAUCGAGGAAAUUGUGUCUGCGAUCCAAAUGAAAGCAAAUGAGUAUGCCGGUUCCAUCGUGUACACAACACAAUAGAAUCCUGCUUUACUAUAAUUAGCCAUCGAAAAGUUAAUCCUUCGAGACUGUACCUUUCCACUUCCUCCAUAAAACCCAUUUUUCCUUUUUAAAAGCUUUCUGUCAGGUAGUAAGUGUAAUUUAUUGGUUUACGAGAGAAUUUCAUGAAAUUUAAGCAAAAAUAAAUGGCACUUAGGAUGCGUAGAACGCUUGAUUGAACAUCUUAUCUCUUUGCCAAUUGGCCUUCAUUCUUACAUAUUCUGUUUGACAAUGCUGAUUUUGUUGAGAAUCAACCGUACUCUUCUUAACAAUUAGUCGAUUCCGGGUAAAGCAAAUUAGUAUCUUAUAUUAUGGAGCUUUAUGGUCUUUAAAGGGACGACGGAGAGAAUCGAAAUAAACGAUAGAUUCGCAAACCGAGGAACGUUCCAUUUUGCUUCAGAAUAGACCGGCAUCGAUUGCACUUUUCAAUGAGUCGUUCCGCAUCCCUCUAAAAUAGGCAAUCAUUUUGCCAGUGGAUAACGCUCUACGUUUUUCCAUUUCAAACGUAUGUAUCUUUUGAGAUCGUGAAUUUUUGUCGAAAAACGACAACAUAUUCGAAGCCUCGACAAUAAUGCGGUUCUUGAAGAAAAAUGAUAAAGCGAAGUCAAAAGUCAAGAUGCGCUAUCAAAGCUGGUAUCGAUGAGCCUACCGUGAAACAGACAAAGAGACCAAAAUGACGACGGAGAGAGACGAGUAGUGGAUGCGAUUUAACUUCGCGUCGAUCUCUGCGAAUCUUUAUGACGCCACAGUGCGUCACCGUGCACACGGAAAAAUACUCGAGCGCAGGAAAUAUCGGAGGCGAAACGCGGACCUCGUAAGUCGUGGUCGGGAAAUAUCGGGAGGAGGAAGGUACUCGAGAUACAUUUUUCUGCCCAGCCAUAAAAAGGAAAGAGAGAAAAAGAGAGAGAGAGAGAGAGAGAGAGAGGGAAGAAACGACAUGCAGCGUAUAACGAAUAUCAAAAUUUCGUUCGUAUCAAGAUUAACGUCGUUGCGGAGAUGUUGUGUCGCGACGUUUCGUCGAAAAGACCUUCAGGACGUUGCUCGUCGUCCUCCAGCACGGAAGAUUCAAUUAGGAAAGACUCGAUCAAUCUACAAUCUAGCGGACGAAAAGCGUCCUAUCAGCAGCAACAUGGUCUCGAAUGCUCAAACGAAUAUUAACCCCGUUACAUCCCGUGCAUCGUUUUCCGUCCAAUCGAUUUUACCAUUAGAAACUCUCUCAUGCACGUUGCAUAUAUACAACAUCGUACAUAUUCUGUUAAGUGGUUAAUUAACUGAACGAUAAAUGUAUUUGUUUUUAGGUGAAGGCGAUCUCAAGUUUUAGUACAUUAUUUGUUCUCUAUGUAACUGUACGAGGUGAUGCGCUUUUUACUAUCGAUACAGGACGCAUUGCGGACUUUAGAUAUGUAUUUAAUUAUUUUAUAUACAGUUGCACGCAAUAAUUAUACGUAUAGCAGCGCGACAGUAGAGCUGACGCAAAAAUGACGGUAAUCAUUAAAGAAGAUAUACAAAACGCAAGUAACGAUCAAAGUGCACGGAUUUUUUAAACGUAUCAAGAUUCAUUGUUAUAUAAUAUCGUCUCGUGUCGAUCUUAGUCUUUUAUGUUUUUGAUUAACAAUCUCUUCGUUUGUCGAAACGAGACGAAUAACAAAUAUUCAAGGACCGUAGUUGGAUUAAACAUCGUCCACACAAGAAUCUGUACGUUACCGUCCAAACCGGAACGAAUAAAAUAGUGAAACUUAAUCGAACGCGAUGAACAUUUUAAUGAACGAUAUCGACGAAGCUACCCGCGCGAAUAGAAGAAUCGUUGGAUUGCCGGAUUCGUUCGCUCAUAGAAUAGUUGGUUUUCGAUCGAGCAAGAAUUUCUGAUUGCACGAUGGCUUGGAUGCUUCCGGUGUAUUGCGUUUUAAUGGGUCCUACCAGGAUGAUAGGGCGACGAUUUGGUGGCGAACACGCUGCAACGGCGAAUUAUCGCCACAAUUGAUAACAAUUUGUUUCCCCGUGUUCUCCAUAUGGCACAGGGACGAGGCCAGUGAACCAACUGCACACGAUGACGUUGAACCAACGACCAAGCUGGCCAGUUUUCUCGACCGAUCAAAUUUUCUUUUUCGAGUCGUACGAAACGAACGGAGCAAAGAAUAUCACGAUGAGAGAAAUCGUAUCCGUGGCAGGAUCAAUUUUUACUUCGAAGUCGAGAUUGAACGCACAUCCUCGUAAAAAUUCUUGUUCUUCCUUUUUUUUUUUUUUUCUUUCUUUCUUUUUGGUUACAACGAAUGGAAAAAUUCCGUAUCAUCGUUAAUUAAUGCAUUACGAAGUUAACAAUGAUUUAACAACGAUCCGAUCGUUGUGGAUCUCGACCGUAAAUAAUAAAUAAUAUUAAGCGGACUUAGGAUCAGCCGUACUAAAUUUACUCAUCCUCGUAUAAUUUCUCAAUCCGACUCACUAACGUGUGAUAUUUGCAAUUGCCAAAUUACGAAGGACGCGAUGUUCUAUAAUAAAAUUUAAUCCCCAGAGAAUUUUCUUUUAUUAUCUUCAUAGGCACAUACGCGCGAUUAAUGCAAAGUUAAGCUCUACGUGGAAUAAGAAAAAGUCAAAGUUUUAUCAUCGUUGUUGUGUCGCCUUCGUUCCUCUUCGUACUAUUUAAAAUAUUUAUCGAUUAUUUCGUAAUAUCUUGUAUAAUAAUAUUUUACUUAAAGACGAUAAAAACCACAGAUGACUUCAAAUAGUUCAAGGUAUCUUGAAAAAUAAAAAAAAAAAAUGCUAGAUAAGACAUUUUAGCUACUGCAAGGAGAACAGCAUCGGACGCUACUACACGAUCGAUAUCCAGUUAAUCACAUUACCUAAGCGGCAUAUAAUUUUAUUACGGAUAAAACUGACGCGAAUUCGCUGGCUGGAUUCUUCCGGAUCGGCCAUCGGAUUUGCGUAACCAUAGGACGCGGGAUAGCAACGGAAACGAGUCUUAUCGAGUUUCCUCGAGCCAUUGAUACUCGCGCGUUAAUUUCGUUCUUUUGUUAGAUGCGCGUAAAAUGACUUGGAAACUUUUAGCAAUAAAGACGUUCCACGUUUUAUAAUGGAAAACGUUUCAUUGAGAAUUUCUUCUAAUCGAACUGCCUUCGUUGGUCGCUGUUAUGUAUGAACCGGAAGUAGGGACAGUUGGAGAGAGAACAAAUUGUCUAAUACAUUCGUGGUAUCGUAUACGUAUAACGUGUAGCACAUGUACGCAUCGCUCUUUACAUUUUGACGUUAAACAUACGGGUGGUUCACAUUUUUGUACAUUUAUCGCAGAAAAGUAGAAACUUAUCGAAAGAAUUGUGUGCAUUGCAUGUAACAUUGGUAAUACAAUGAAACACGCUGACCAACGUGAUUAUAUUGAUAAAAUUUGAGACCAAACUGGAAACGUACACAGAAGUUACAAGAUAUUUAUAGGAAACAUAUAUUCGUUCAAAAAUUAGUAUACAAGAGAAAUAUAAAAACAUUUUACGCAUAUAAUAAAUGUUCGAAAUGAUUCCACUUGACAUCGAGACGUUGAUGUAAGAGAUAAUUGGCUGUUUAAUUAUCUUCAUAAUUUUCGAUACGGUAUAUUGCACUAGAUAUCUUGCAGCUUCUAUGUAUUAAAUUUUCAUUAUUAGACGCACGUAUAAAACGAUAAAUGUGGUGCAUCCAUUAUUUUCUUAUAAAACGAAAGAAGCUUUCGGGAUAACCUAAUACAUUUUCAGAUUUAUUUCAAACUGGAGCGCUGUGAUCGUGACAACAUAUUUCGUGUAACAGCCAUAGUAUACUCGUUAAAGAACGUCACAAAUAUUCGAAUAUUUCCGUAAGCCACCGUGUUCGACGAGAACGAACCGACAGAACGGCCCGCCGAAUGAUAAGCAGCAAAACGGACCUAAUAUUGCGUACCUGAGCCGACUACAAGACACGAUACAUAUGCAGGAGCCUACGCACACGGUCGCUGGUGUAGGACAGUCGCGGAAGCGGUGACCCUGCCUGACCGAGUCGACCGCGAUCUCCAAGUCGGUCGUGUUCUCUCCACGUACCAUUUAUCUGUGUUCUUUUAUAACCGGUCACGAUAAGCUAGCUUUGCUUACAAGCGUGGCCCGAUACCGUUCCUAGAUAGAGCUAGCUUAAUUCCUCCAAACACGGUAUAUCUUACCGUUUCGAAGUCGCUUCACGAUUCACGCCUCGGAUUUACAAACCGUUCGUCCAUAGUCUAUACGAGUUGAGUAGAAGGAACUCUCACGAAACACGUUCGAACUGUACUAGUCAUCGACACGGUUGAGUCACGAAUAACUAUACCGUCAAUUCUAGCUCGUUAUCCUACUACUAGACCAUGUUUUUCGUUCGGUUGUUCGAAUACCGAACGACAGUGCUACGUGGAAGGCUGAGGAUUUUACUAUGGGGAUAAAAAUAAUCUUGGAAUUUUCCGUAAUUUCAGUUGCUUUAACCUCUCUCGUGGACAAAAAUCGUGAUCUAAAACGUCUGACGUACGAGAAGAUGUACUAAGAUGUUGUCGAUCUUGUUGAGACAGGCGAAAAGAAAUUGGAUUGAAUGCAAUCGAGUCGAACAGAACUGGGAAACUAAGUAACUGGUCUGUCGCAAAGGGGCGAAAGGAAACAGAUGUCAAAGGGCGAGAGGAUUUUUCGUGAGGUCGUAUAACGUACGCGUGUAGAAUGAUAACUGCGUAGAUGACGACACCUGGCGGCCUCGUGACGAGAAGCGACGUUCUCGCAAGCGAGAACGGAAUUUCAUUCGUUUGUAUAAAAUAAUGUCGACUACGAUAUUCAAUGGAAAAAUAUUAGGGUAUGUAUGUAGUAUAGACCUAUACGUAUACAUAUAACUUAUGUAUUAACAGCAGUAAUUCUUCCAUUGUCGGUAAGAAUCAUUUUCUUUCUCAAUUAAAGUCACAAUGUUAUAUCCGUUUCUAAAGCAUAUCGUCAUACAUGCCUUUUAUUUUUUUAAUCAUAUAUGUUAACUUAAUAAAUAUAUCCAAUAUAAUUGAUAAAAAUCAUAUUAUUCGCUAUCCUUAUACCUAAGAGCCGAUGGAAGCA